UACGUAGGGGGCUAGCGUUGUCCGGAAUUACUGGGCGUAAAGCGCGUGUAGGCGGCCCUGUAAGUCGGGUGUGAAAUCCCACGGCUCAACCGUGGAAGUGCAUUCGAAACUACAGGGCUAGAGUUCUGGAGAGGAAGGUGGAAUGCUUGGUGUAGAGGUGAAAUUCGUAGAUAUCAAGCGGAACACCGGUGGCGAAGGCGGCCCCCUGGUUGGAUACUGACGCUGAUACGCGAAAGCGUGGGGAGCAAACAGG
rnacentral:rRNA from 1 species